rnacentral:rRNA from 1 species
CCUACGGGGGGCAGCAGUGAGGAAUAUUGGUCAAUGGCCGAGAGGCUGAACCAGCCAAGUCGCGUGAGGGAAGACGGCCCUACGGGUUGUACACCUCUUUUGUCGGGGAGCAAAGCGAACCACGUGUGGUUCAUUGAGAGUACCCGAAGAAAAAGCAUCGGCUAACUCCGUGCCAGCAGCCGCGGUAAUACGGAGGCUGCGAGCGUUAUCCGGUUUUAUUGGGUUUAAAGGGUGCGGAGGAGGACUUGAAAGUCAGCGGUAAAAUCGAGAGGCUCAACCUCUUUCCGCCGUUGACACUGUGUGUCUGGAGUGGGCGAGAAGUAUGCGGAAUGCGUGGUGUAGCGGUGAAAUGCAUAGAUAUCACGCAGAACUCCGAUUGCGAAGGCAGCAUACCGGCGCCCGACUGACGCUGAGGCACGAAAGCGUGGGUAUCGAACAGGAUUAGAUACCCCUGUAGUC